rnacentral:ncRNA from 1 species
CAUGAGGCAAGGCACACCUGCGCGAAAGCCAGGGUCGCAAAGCUACCGGUCUACGUCCAGACGACACGACAGCGGGGUUGCCAGA